rnacentral:tRNA from 2 species
CGGGGCGUGGCGCAAUUUGGCUAGCGCGCAUGUUUUGGGUACAUGAGGUUGGAGGUUCGAAUCCUCUCGCCCCGACCA